UGGGAUAUAGCAUAAGGUAAUGUAUUUCGCUUACACUGAAAUGAUGGGUCUAAGGAUGGCCCUGUCCCA
rnacentral:tRNA from 1 species